UACGGAGGGUGCAAGCGUUAUCCGGAUUCACUGGGUUUAAAGGGUGCGUAGGCGGAUAUGUAAGUCCGUGGUGAAAUCUCUGGGCUUAACCCGGAAACUGCCAUGGAUACUAUGUGUCUUGAAUGUUGUUGAGGUGAGCGGAAUAUGUCAUGUAGCGGUGAAAUGCUUAGAUAUGACAUAGAACACCAAUUGCGAAGGCAGCUCACUAAGCAAAUAUUGACGCUGAGACACGAAAGCGUGGGGAUCAAACAGG
rnacentral:rRNA from 1 species